rnacentral:lncRNA from 1 species
CUUGUCCGGGACGAACUAACUAUCGAAUAUUGCUUUAUCAGGUUGAAAAGCCUAGAGUAAUAUCCGAUAGGAGCGUCUGUGUUCUUUGAUUGUUGGUCUAAAGCGAUCAGAUUUAUUUCGAGAAUCAUGGGUCGACCAUCAGGGAACAUCGACCGUGUCAUUUCCGGUUAUCUACGAUCGGUGGUGUCAUAAAGGUGGUAUCAGAGCAUUGUUAUACGAUGCUAGAAUGGGACUUGUUUCAAAAAACUUUCGAGUCAAAAAUGUGUCGCAAGGAUAAUUAGGAUAUGCUGGUUUGUUCCUUCUUUUAGGAAUUGAUAGACCUGGGUAGAAACUUACCAUGAUCUUCGGUUGCAGAUGCCACCAAGACAGGCACAUCGUGGUGGACAUUAUCUACCGAUACCUAUUUCAUCAUCUUCAGACUCCUCGCCGCCAUCUACUCCGGCACCACUUCCGACUCCUAGCUUUGAGGCUACACCUUCAGGCUCUAGCUUUGAGACUGUUCCGUCUGAAGGGUCAUAUGAUCAGACACCGGAGCACAUUCCUUUGCCUCCAGACCCGUACUUUAUGGAC